UCAUCUGUAAUUGACUCUGGGUCAAUAAAUGCAGGGCCAAUUUUCUAAUGGGCCCAAUACCCCCUCGGGUAUUGGGUCAUCCUAAGCUCAUGCCUAAAAUAGGAUUUUGGUUUUGCUCUAUUCUAGGUGUCUAGAGUGGGUUUGAACCAGGUUUCCAAGCAGAUGAAUUGGGUUUGGAAAUAAGAACAGCCAUCAGAUGACUCACGUGCUAAUAAACC
rnacentral:lncRNA from 1 species